AAGUUGUCUUGAGGUGCCACUUAGGUCCACGAUCUUGGAAAAUCGAAAUCUGGCACCUUUAAGUUGUCAUUUAGGGCCGAUUUAGUCCAUAACCCCCCACGGGAGCGUUUUUGCCGACGUGGACUGGCCACCGUGGAUCUGACUGUGUUUUGGCGGGAUCUUGAGGUUGUAUGUUUUGCAUUUAGGUCCCUCCUGGGUUGAUAAAAGGGAAAAGGGGUCAUCUGGUUCCCAGGCAGUCUCUUCUCUCUCUGUCCCGUUCCCCACCAGCGCCCCUGUUCAGGUCGACGCCAUGAGAGGCGAUUCAAGCGGCUCCGCUUCAGAUCCACAAGGUGCAGAGGGUCUUCCGCUGAUUUGGUGCACGGAUUGCAAGUCGAGGUAGGUAGUGCGGCGCGUGUCGCAGAAGCCAUGGAGCGCCGGCCAAGUGUUUUACUGCUGCCCCAAAUACAAGCGAGAUGGUACUGGUUGUCCAUUUUGGCAUUGGGAAGAUGACUAUGCUGAUCUAUUGGCGGGCAAGAGGGCCGGCAUUGAGGCAGGCAAAGGGACUCUAGUUGGAGGCCAUGAAGGAAACAAGAGCAAUGCAGGCAGAUCAAUGGUGCAAGGGGAAGUCGGCUUGAGUGGGAGAACUAUGGUGGAAGGGGAACUCGGCAUGAGUGGUGCUGCUGGAAUGAUGAACAGAGAAUAUGAAAUUGUAGCCAUGUGUAAAGAAAUAGUUAGUUUGGUGAAGGCAAUUACCCUAGUUUCAGUGUGCAUCGUGUUUGUACUUAUGCUGAAUCUCAUUGUUCAGCUUGUAAAAUGAUGAUGUAUGCUAUGCUAUGAAUGUUAUCAGUAAUGGAAUGGAAUGAAAUUGAGGUCUGGUAUGAAUAUUAUCAGUAAUGGAAUGAAAUUGAGG